GACAGAGGGGCAAGCGUUGCUCGGAAUUACUGGGCGUAAAGGGCGCGUAGGCGGGAUGGCAAGUCGGUCGUGAAAUCCUUCGGCCCAACCGAAGAACGUCGAUCGAUACUGCUGUUCUAGAGGAUUGCAGAGGAGACUGGAAUUCCCGGUGUAGCGGUGAAAUGUGUAGAGAGUCGGGAGGAACACCGGUGGCGAAGGCGGGUCUCUGGGCA
rnacentral:rRNA from 1 species